AAGUCGAGCGAACAGACGAGGAGCUUGCUCCUCUGACGUUAGCGGCGGACGGGUGAGUAACACGUGGAUAACCUACCUAUAAGACUGGGAUAACUUCGGGAAACCGGAGCUAAUACCGGAUAAUAUAUUGAACCGCAUGGUUCAAUAGUGAAAGACGGUUUUGCUGUCACUUAUAGAUGGAUCCGCGCCGCAUUAGCUAGUUGGUAAGGUAACGGCCUACCAAGGCAACGAUGCGUAGCCGACCUGAGAGGGUGAUCGGCCACACUGGAACUGAGACACGGUCCAGACUCCUACGGGAGGCAGCAGUAGGGAAUCUUCCGCAAUGGGCGAAAGCCUGACGGAGCAACGCCGCGUGAGUGAUGAAGGUCUUCGGAUCGUAAGACUCUGUUAUUAGGGAAGAACAAAUGUGUAAGUAACUAUGCACGUCUUGACGGUACCUAAUCAGAAAGCCACGGCUAACUACGUGCCAGCAGCCGCGGUAAUACGUAGGUGGCAAGCGUUAUCCGGAAUUAUUGGGCGUAAAGCGCGCGUAGGCGGUUUUUUAAGUCUGAUGUGAAAGCCCACGGCUCAACCGUGGAGGGUCAUUGGAAACUGGAAAACUUGAGUGCAGAAGAGGAAAGUGGAAUUCCAUGUGUAGCGGUGAAAUGCGCAGAGAUAUGGAGGAACACCAGUGGCGAAGGCGACUUUCUGGUCUGUAAC
rnacentral:rRNA from 1 species